rnacentral:rRNA from 1 species
AACGAACGCUGGCGGCAGGCCUAGCACAUGCAAGUCGAGCGAGGACUUCGGUCCUAGCGGCGGACGGGUGAGUAACGCGUGGGAACGUGCCCUUUGCUUCGGAAUAGCCCUGGGAAACUGGGAGUAAUACCGGAUGAGCCCUUUGGGGGAAAGAUUUAUCGGCGAAGGAUCGGCCCGCGUUGGAUUAGGUAGUUGGUGGGGUAAUGGCCUACCAAGCCGACGAUCCAUAGCUGGUUUGAGAGGAUGAUCAGCCACACUGGGACUGAGACACGGCCCAGACUCCUACGGGAGGCAGCAGUGGGGAAUCUUAGACAAUGGGGGAAACCCUGAUCUAGCCAUGCCGCGUGAGCGAUGAAGGCCUUAGGGUUGUAAAGCUCUUUCAGCUGGGAAGAUAAUGACGGUACCAGCAGAAGAAGCCCCGGCUAACUCCGUG